GUUUUGAAGUUAGCAUUAUUUGUUGCUGUCUGCUGAACUUCAUUGAACUUCAUUGCUGUUGUUGGUUGUGUGCAGUCCUUAACUUCAUUUAGAACAUAUAAAUGUGUCAAUUGCUCUAAAUCAAUCUAAUAAGGUUAACUCUUUCAGUUGAUAAUGGCAUUCUCCCCUCCUGAAGUCUCCUCAACAAUGCCCAAUGCAAUAAUAUCUCAAAACUCCAUUGACAAUCCACAUUCAACGGAUGAUCAUAUUGUUACAAAUACUGACAUUCAAGGUGGAAGUGGAGAUGGUGAAACAGGUGGAAGUGCAGAUGGUGAAACAGGUGGAAGUGCAGAUGGUGAAACAGGUGGGAGUGCAGAUGGUGAAACAGGAGGAGCAGAAGAUGAUUUGCACUUUCAGCCGAAGAAGAGACAAAAGACUUCGAAAGUUUGGUUGGAGUUCAAUGUAAUUGAUGCUGUCAAUAAAGCCGAGUGCAAGCAUUGCAAAUCUAGACUAUCGAUUUUGAAGAGCAAGAGUACUACCCACCUCUCAAGACACUUGGCUUGUUGUUUGAAGCGAAAGCUAAAUCAGAAGCAACAACAGAAGAUUUCAUUGGAGCCUAUCAAUGAAAAUAGUGUUUCCAUGGCUUCCAUUGCUCUCACAGAUGGCAAAUUUGACAUGAGAAAAAUGAGGGAGGCAAUUGCUCAUUGGAUACUCAUGCACGAGCAUCCAUUUACAAUUGUUGAAGAAGAAGGAUUUAAUAUGAUGCAGAAACGUGCAGCAUUGGAAUGGGAAAAGGUAUCACGCAAUACAAUCAAGAAAGAUUGUACUCAAGUGUAUGAUAUUGAGAGGAAGAAGCUGAUGGCACAACUAAAGAACAUCAACAAGAUUAGUGUGACUACCGAUUUGUGGAGAUCAACGAAUCAGAAGAUCGAAUACAUGGUACUUACUGGACAUUUUGUUGACUCUUGCUGGAAAUUGCAAAAAAGAAUUCUCAGCUUUGUUCAUCUACCACCUCCUCAUCGUGGUGUUGAGAUAGCAGAUAAUCUUUACAAGUGUAUGAAAGAUUGGGGCAUUGAGAAUAAGGUGUUCACCAUUUCAGUUGAUAAUGCUUCAAACAACGAUGUGGCAAUUCGCAUAUUGGCGGACACUUUCUCAAGAAACAAGAAGUUGCUAUGUGGAGGUAAACUAUUCCAUGUGCGGUGUUGUGCACAUAUCCUGAACCUUAUGGUUCAAGAUGGACUUUCAAGGAUUGCUUACAUUAUUGAAGACAUACAUGAAAGUGUGCUUUUCAUCAAUUACAAUGAGGCAAGACUUCGAGCAUUUUCUGAAAUUGUGCAGCAGUUACAACUACCACAUCGGAAGCUUGUUCUCGAGUGCAAAACAAGAUGGAAUUCCACAUAUGCAAUGCUGUCAGCUGCCAUCAAGUUCAAAGAGGUGUUUCCAAGAUACCAAGACCGAGAGCCGCGAUAUACUUGUUGUCCAAGCAAUGAAGAUUGGAAGAUGGUUGAAAAGGUGUGUACCAUAUUACAAGUAUUUGAUUCAGCCACUCGUAUCAUAUCUGGGAGUGAGUAUCCAACAUCAAAUCUGUUUCUUAAUGAAGUUUAUCGAAUCAAAGUGUUGUUGGAUAAGAUUCAUGGGGAUGAAACUGAAGAACCCUUUAUUCAUGACAUGGUUGAUGCUAUGAAGACUAAGUUUGACAAAUAUUGGGGAGAGUGCAACUUGUUGAUGGCUAUUGCUGCUAUUUUAGAUCCGAGGUGUAAGAUGACGGUCAUUGAGUAUUGUUUUCCCAAGAUGUAUUCCAAAGAAGAAGCUCGUGAAAAAAUCAAGAAAGUCAGGGAUGCAUUAUAUGAGCUGUAUGAUGAAUAUGUGGCAGACAUGUAUUCUGAUAUUUCUACACAAAGUGAGCAAAUCAUUGACAAUACCAAUCGCAGAAGUGGAGUUCAAGAAGCUUCGGGCUGGUCCGAGUUCAUUCAACAUGUGAAAUCUGCUCAAACUAGUAAGCCACAACAGUCAGAGUUGAGCAACUACUUGGAAGAGGGAUGUCAUAUUUGUGAAGAUAUAUCAACUCCAUUUGAUGCUUUAGAAUGGUGGAGAACGAGUGCCUUGAAGUAUCGUAUAUUAUCUAAAAUGGCUCGUGAUAUACUAGCUAUUCCCAUCUCAACUGUGGCAUCAGAAGCUACUUUUAGCGCAGGGGGUCGAGUUAUUGAUACAUAUCGAGCCUCAUUGAAUGCCGAUACAGUGCAAACAUUGAUUUGUGGAGGAGAUUGGUGUCGUAGUCUUCAUGGUGUGAAGAGAAAGAACAAAGUGAGUUAUGUUCUUAAUAUUUUAUGAUUUCUUAAAUUUAUUUUAACUUAAAUUGAUUAUCUUAUUUUAUACUACAGAGUGAGAAGAAACCUUUGGAGAUUAUGCUUCCCAUUUCUUGAGAGUGAGAAGAAACCUUUGCAAUGGUAUUUAUUUAUCAUCCUGUUAAAUGUAACAUUUUUUUGCUUGUAUUGUAAAUUAUGUUUCCAUUCUACUUCUAUAUUGCUUUAUUGCUAUGCAGUUGGUGAACUUUAUUGCUAUGCAGUUGGUGAACUUUAUUUCCAUUGGUAUUUAUUUAUCAUCCUGUUAAAUGUUUCCUUUGCAAUUGCUUUGCAGUUGGUGAACUUUAUUGCUAUAUUCCAUCCUAUAUAUUCCAUCCUAUAUUGCUUAUAGUUAUAGAGCAGCUUAUAUAUAUAUUGCUUCUAUAUAUUCCAUCCUAUAUUGCUUAUAGAGCAGCUUAUUUUGAUUUUGAUCGUCUUUUGCAGCCUUUACAUGGUUGGUGUUCGUAUUGGAGAGACGACUUGAUGUUGGAGGCUUGGAGCAUUAUCUAUAAGAAGAAGUUGCAAAUUUGCUUUUAUUAUGUUGUAUUUGAUUCAAGACUUGUUAGUUUUUGAAUUUUUGAUGCCUUUAGACUAUUUGAAUGUGCAUUUUCGAGUCUAAUCGAUGUUUUGGAUAUCUAAGACUUGUUAUAAUUGAUUUGUAGAAGUACUUCUCGUAAUGAAAU
rnacentral:lncRNA from 1 species